rnacentral:ncRNA from 1 species
CUGGGCACAAUAUAUGCUGUGACCCGAAAGAUGGUGAACUAUACUUGAUCAGGUUGAAGUCAGGGGAAACCCUGAUGGAAGACCGAAACAGUUCUGACGUGCAAAUCGAUUGUCAGAAUUGAGUAUAGGGGCGAAAGACCAAUCGAACCAUCUAGUAGCUGGUUCCCUCCGAAGUUUCCCUCAGGAUAGCUGGUGCAUUUAAAUAUUAUGUAAAAUAAUCUUAUCUGGUAAAGCGAAUGAUUAGAGGCCUUAGGGUCGAAACGAUCUUAACCUAUUCUCAAACUUUAAAUGGGUAAGAACCUCACCUAUCUUGAUAUGUAGGUGGGGUUGUGAUAUAUUGUGCCCAGUGGGCCAC